AUUGAACGCUGGCGGCAGGCCUAACACAUGCAAGUCGAGCGGAGCGGCGGACGGGGGAGUAAUGCCUAGGAAUCAGCCUGGUAGUGGGGGAGAACGUCCGGAAACGGGCGCUAAUACCGCAUACUAUCAGAGCAGCCUAGGUCGGAUUAGCUAGUUGGUGGGGUAAAGGCCUACCAAGGCGACGAUCAGUAACUGGUCUGAGAGGAUGAUGCGUCACACUGGAACUUAGACACGGUCCAGACUCCUACGGGCGGCAGCAGUGGGGAAUAUUGGACAAUGGACGAAAGUCUGACGGAGCAACGCCGCGUGAGUUAUGACGGCCUUCGGGUUGUAAAGCUCUGUUAAUCGGGACGCGGUACCGGAAUAGAAAGCCACGGCUAACUACGUGCCAGCAGCCGCGGUAAUAC
rnacentral:rRNA from 1 species